rnacentral:rRNA from 1 species
CCUACGGGAGGCAGCAGUGAGGAAUAUUGGUCAAUGGCCGGAAGGCUGAACCAGCCAAGCCGCGUGAAGGACGAAGGUGCCAAGCAUUGUAAACUUCUUUUGUCAAGGGACAAAAUCAGGCUCGAGAGCCUGACCGAGGGUACUUGAAGCAAAAGCAUCGGCUAACUCCGUGCCAGCAGCCGCGGUAAUACGGAGGAUGCGAGCGUUAUCCGGAUUUAUUGGGUUUAAAGGGUGCGUAGGCGGACUGUUAAGUCAGCGGUAAAAGCCCGGGGCCCAACCCGGGCGAGCGUUUGAAACUGGCUGUCUUGAGAUGUGGAGAGGUAGGAGAAAUUCGUGGGGUGGCGGUGAAAUGCUAGAUAUCACGAAGAACCCCGAUUGCGAAGGCAGCUUACUAAACUGUGACUGACAUUGAUGCUCGAAAGUGUGGGUAUCAAACAGGAUUAGAUACCCCUGUAGUC